AUCAGGUUUACAAGCAUGAGCCACCAUGCCUGGUUCAGCAUGUCAUAUUCUAAGCAAUACGAAAAGAAUGAAGGCCAGUUGCAGAGGCUCAUGCCUGUAAUUUCAGCACUUUGGGAGUCAAGGUGGGUGGAUCACUUGAGGUCAGGAGUUUGAGACCAGCCUGGCCAACAUGGUAAAACCCCAUCUCCACUAAAAACACAAAAAUUAGCUGGGCGUGGUGGUGUGUACUCAUAAUCCCAGCUACUCAGGAGGCUGAGGUAGGAGGAUUGCAUGAACCCAGGAGGCCCAAGUUGCAGCAAGCCAAGACUGCACCACUGCACUCCAGCCUGGGUGACAGAAUGAGACUCCGUUCCAACGCGAAGUCUCUUAAGACCAAGGAGAGCAGACAUUCUGAUGUUUCCCACAUUGACAGCACUCAUAAGGCCUUUCUCCAAUAUGAACUCUCCUGUGUUUAACGAGAUGGGAUGCUUCAGCAAAGGAUUUCCCGUAUUCACUGUACUCAUAAGGCCUUUCUCCUGUGGGAACUCUGAUGAUGAAGGAGGGUAGAGCUUCGCUGAAAUGUUUUUCCACAUUUGGUGCAUUCAUAAGGCCUUUCUCCAGUAUGAAUUCUCCUGUGUUUAAUGAGACUGGAACAUUCAGCAAAGGAUUUUCCACAUUCACUGCACUUGUAAGGCUUUUGUCCAGAAUGAACUCUUUUAUGAACAUGAAGAGCAGAGCUGGAAAGAAAUGAUUUACCACAUUCACUGCAUUCAUACGGCCUUUCUCCAGUGUGAAUCCUCUGAUGUAUAGUCACGCUGUGCUUAUUGCCAAAUAAUUUCCCACAUACCUCACACGCAUAUGGCCUUUCUCCAGUGUGAACUCUCUCAUGAACGAGAAGAUGAUACUUCCUGUUAAAUAAUUUCCCACAUUCCCUACAAUUGUAAGGUCUUUCCCCAGUGUGAAGUCUCUGGUGUUCAGUGAGGUGGGAUCUGUACCUAAAUGAUUUCCCACAUUCCUUGCACUCAUAGGGCCUUUCUCCAGUGUGACCUCGCUGAUGGUGAACGAGGUUGCCCUUUUGACCAAAAGAUUUUCCACAUUCUCCACACUUGUAAGGCCUUUCUCCAGUGUGAACACGCUGAUGGUUAAUAAGGCAAAACUUCUGACGAAAAGAUUUCCCACAUUCCCCACAGUGAUAAGCUCUCUCUCCAGUGUGACCUCGCUGAUGUUGAAUGAGGUUACCCUUUUGACCAAAAGAUUUCCCAUAUUCUCCACACUCAUAAGGCCCUUCUCCAGUGUGAACACGCUGAUGGCUAAUAAGGCUGCCCUUCUGACUAAAAGAUUUCCCACACUCCCCACAGGGAUAAGCUGUCUUUCCAGUGUGGACUCGCUGAUGUUGAAUAAGGCUGCUCUUUCGACUAUAAGAUUUCCCACACUCUCCACAAUCAUAAGGUCCUUUUCCAGUGUGAUCUCGCUGAUGAUUACUGAAGCUGACAUAUCUGCUAAAGGAUUUUCCACAAUCACUGCACACAUAACAUCCAUCUCUAGUGAAAAGUUUCUGGUGUGGAAUAACUGAGUGUUUGGUGCUGAAGGCUUUUGUGCGUUUUCCACACCUGUAAUUAGUUUUUCCCUCCUGAAAGGGUGGGCCAUGCGUAGUUUCACUGUCUUUCUUCUCUACGGGGUAAGCAGCUUCUUCUUGGCACAAUCCUGAACUGGGCAGAACGUCCUUCCCAAACUCGCGGAAGACAAAUGGCUCCUGUGACACCCUGAGCUUACGUUUCUUUACAAACGAUGCUUCUCUGACACUCUUUCUGUAGAAUUUCUCUCCAAUAUGCUGCUUCUGGUGCUGAUGAAGGUUUGCAGUGUCAUCCAAGUUUUUUCCACAUGUUCCACUCCUGUUCAGCUUCUGCUUGUGAUGAGUUUCCUGGUGGUCAGCAAAGUGAAAAACAUCCUCCAAGUUGAGGCCACACAUUUCACAGGGGUGAGCCUUCUUAGGAGAAACACCUGCCCUAGGAGUCCUGCUCUGAGACUCUCUUUGUACAGAAAUGCUCUGCUUACAAGGUGCCUCCUCAUCUUUUGAUCCACACCAACAACCUGAGAGCAAGAAAAUGCUGGUCAAGUGCAAAGUACCUCCGACGGGAAGGCACAGCCCACCCACAAGUACAUCUCACAAAUUGAGGAAUUAAUCUAUAGAAAUAUUUGCAGGAACACAAUGUUGGCUUCAAGUUAAAGAUGGGGCUGCUGGCUGGGCGCAGUGGCUCACACCUGUAAUCCCAGCACUUUGGGAGGCUGAGGCGGGUGGAUCACCUGAGGUCAGAAGUUCAAGACCAGCGUGACCAACAUGGUGAAACCCCAUCUCUACUGAAAAUACAAAAAUUAGCUGGGUGUGGUUGUGGACACCUGUAAUCCCAGCUACUCGGGAGGCUAAAGCAGGAGAAUCAUUUGAACCCAGAAGGCGUAGGUUUGUAGUGAGCAGUGAUUAUGCCACUGCACCCCAGCCUGGACAACAGAGUGAGACUCAAUCAC
rnacentral:sRNA from 1 species